rnacentral:rRNA from 1 species
CGGGCGGACGGGUGAGUAGCGCGUGGGUAACCUGCCUCAUACAGGGGGAUAACAGUUGGAAACGGCUGCUAAUACCGCAUAAGCGCACAGUACCGCAUGGUACCGUGUGAAAAACUCCGGUGGUAUGAGAUGGACCCGCGUCUGAUUAGCUAGUUGGUGGGGUAACGGCCUACCAAGGCGACGAUCAGUAGCCGACCUGAGAGGGUGACCGGCCACAUUGGGACUGAGACACGGCCCAA